rnacentral:rRNA from 1 species
AGCGAACGCUGGCGGCAGGCCUAACACAUGCAAGUCGAGCGGGCACCUUCGGGUGUCAGCGGCAGACGGGUGAGUAACACGUGGGAACGUGCCCUUUGGUUCGGAACAACUCCGGGAAACUGGAGCUAAUACCGGAUAAGCCCUUACGGGGAAAGAUUUAUCGCCAAAGGAUCGGCCCGCGUCUGAUUGGCUAGUUGGUGAGGUAACGGCUCACCAAGGCGACGAUCAGUAGCUGGUCUGAGAGGAUGAUCAGCCACACUGGGACUGAGACACGGCCCAGACUCCUACGGGAGGCAGCAGUGGGGAAUAUUGGACAAUGGGCGCAAGCCUGAUCCAGCCAUGCCGCGUGAGUGAUGAAGGCCCUAGGGUUGUAAAGCUCUUUUAGCGGGGAAGAUAAUGACGGUACCCGCAGAAUAAGCCCCGGCUAACUUCGUGCCAGCAGCCGCGGUAAUACGAAGGGUGCGAGCGUUGUCCGGAAUUAUUGGGCGUAAAGGGCUCGUAGGCGGUUUGUCGCGUCGGGAGUGAAAACCAGGUGCUUAACACCUGGCUUGCUUUCGAUACGGGCAGACUAGAGGUAUUCAGGGGAGAACGGAAUUCCUGGUGUAGCGGUGAAAUGCGCAGAUAUCAGGAGGAACACCGGUGGCGAAGGCGGUUCUCUGGGAAUGACCUGACGCUGAGGAGCGAAAGUGUGGGGAGCGAACAGGAUUAGAUACCCUGGUAGUCCACACCGUAAACGUUGGGCGCUAGGUGUGGGGUCCAUUCCACGGAUUCCGUGCCGCAGCUAACGCAUUAAGCGCCCCGCCUGGGGAGUACGGCCGCAAG